GACGAACGCUGGCGGCGUGCUUAACACAUGCAAGUCGAACGAUGAACCCGGAGCUUGCUCCGGUGGAUUAGUGGCGAACGGGUGAGUAACACGUGAGUAACCUGCCCUUGACUCUGGGAUAACUGCGGGAGACUGUAGCUAAUACCGGAUACGACCCUCGGCGGCAUCGCCAGGGGGUGGAAAGAAUUUCGGUCAAGGAUGGACUCGCGGCCUAUCAGCUAGUUGGUGAGGUAACGGCUCACCAAGGCGACGACGGGUAGCCGGCCUGGGAGGGUGACCGGCCACACUGGGACUGAGACACGGCCCAGACUCCUACGGGAGGCAGCAGUGGGGAAUAUUGCUCAAUGGGCGCAAGCCUGAUCCAGCCAUGCCGCGUGAGUGAUGAAGGCCUUAGGGUUGUAAAGCUCUUUCGUCCGGGACGAUAAUGACGGUACCGGAAGAAGAAGCCCCGGCUAACUUCGUGCCAGCCGCCGCCGUAA
rnacentral:rRNA from 1 species